UAGGGAAUCUUCCACAAUGGGCGCAAGCCUGAUGGAGCAACACCGCGUGAGUGAAGAAGGGUUUCGGCUCGUAAAGCUCUGUUGUUAAAGAAGAACACGUAUGAGAGUAACUGUUCAUACGUUGACGGUAUUUAACCAGAAAGUCACGGCUAACUACGUGCCAGCAGCCGCGGUAAUACGUAGGUGGCAAGCGUUAUCCGGAUUUAUUGGGCGUAAAGAGAGUGCAGGCGGUUUUCUAAGUCUGAUGUGAAAGCCUUCGGCUUAACCGGAGAAGUGCAUCGGAAACUGGAUAACUUGAGUGCAGAAGAGGGUAGUGGAACUCCAUGUGUAGCGGUGGAAUGCGUAGAUAUAUGGAAGAACACCAGUGGCGAAGGCGGCUACCUGGUCUGCAGCUGACGCUGAGACUCGAAAGCAUGGGUAGCGAACAGGAUUAGAUACCCUGGUAGUCCAUGCCGUAAACGAUGAGUGCUAGGUGUUGGAGGGUUUCCGCCCUUCAGUGCCGGAGCUAACGCAUUAAGCACUCCGCCUGGGGAGUACGACCGCAAGGUU
rnacentral:rRNA from 1 species